GGAGAGGUGGCUGAGUGGUCGAAAGCAACAGAUUGCUAAUCUGUCGUAUGGGCCAAAUUCCCAUACCAAGGGUUCGAAUCCCUUUCUCUCCU
rnacentral:tRNA from 2 species